UUAAGCUCCCUGGCGGCUCCCAGGAGCACCCAGGGCUGGCACAGGUGUUUUAUGUGGACAUAUACGUAUCUCAGGUGCACCCCGCAGACAGGCCCAGCACCAGGCUCCCAGGAGUGUGUCACACCACUGGCAAUUUUAAGCCGCCUAACGGCAAGCUGCUGAGUCAGACCCACCUGACCUUGGCAACCCUGGCGAGCCUCCCUGUCCCCGACACGCAGCGUCCCUCUGCUCCUGCUAGGAGAGGCCCGGAGGCAGGGGACGUCAGUCGCUCUGGGCUAGAGCGGAUGUCAGCUCAGCGCCCGGCACCGCUCCGGCCCUUCCACAUCUCUGUCCCCAUGACGUAAUGCAGGAAACAUUCCCAGAGGCACUGAGCCUCCCUUCCCGGCAGGAAGCUCCAGCCCAGGCAAGGCCACGCCGCAGCACGGGGGUAGGGUGACACUUCGUCUCCACCCAGACAGGGGACAGCAGGGAGCUGGAGCCCAGCAGGCGGGAGGGAGGCACGCCGUCCUCACGGCAACCUGACGGGCGCUGGUCACGUGGGCUCACACGCCGAGCGGGCUACAGAAGGCUUCUGAGGCGCCCACCUCUCAGCACACGCCAUCAACCCGACACCCAGACUGAGAGAGCCUUCCGAGGGUCGGAGACGCCACCUGUGCUUCCCGGGCGGUUUCCACUCUCCCUCUGACCCGGGCCUCAACUGCGAAGGGAACUGCCGGGAACAAAGCUUCCUGGGCCGGGAAGCGAGGCGCGGCAGAGCAGGCGUGCACUUGCCCCCUUGUUGUCUAAGAGGUCACCCCCGGAGCUCAUGGACGGCAGGGGGCGCUGCGCUGGAUGCCCAGCCCCAGGAGUCAGGAUUAACACAAACCAGCCACACCGAGGGGCCUGGCCCGGGGCGCGGCCCAGAACCAAGGGCUGAUCUGCCAAGUUCUCAAGGCGAGGCCUCGUCAGCCUCCCGGGCCCACAGGUGUUAAGCUACGGGGAUUCUUGGCUGCAGGGAUCCGACACCCUGAUCACCACCUGGGCGUGAAGCCAUCGGGUGGACGUCAGGCCGACCGCGACGGCCGAGCGUCAUUCUCUAGAUCUAAACCCCAGAUCUCCAAGAAGCUCAAGCGACCAGAGAAGCUCCUGGCCUGAGGCUGCUCCCCGUUCUGGGUGUGCGGAGGGAGGGAGGACCACGGUGUACCCAGCAGCCGGGCGCACCUGUGCCGCUGACAGCACAGAGAGCAGUCUGGCUCCUUGAUGGCCAGAAGGGGAAGGGAGCCAGCGCCCCUCGGUGAUGAGCGCAGGAGUAGGGUGAGGCGCGACCUAAGGAAGGAGGUCUGGCUCGUGCUGCUACUUGGCGAACUACAAGGAGGACGUCACUCACGAAGACCACCUGCCGGUGAGCGCCCUCCUAACAGACAAAUGCACGGAGACAGAGUGGCGCAGGACGGGUAGAGAACAGGAGGCGACAGCUCCUGGGCCUGGGCUUCUUCCUGGGGAGACGAGUGUGCUAGCACAGACCCUGGGAGACGAGUGUGUGAGCACAGACCCUGGGAGAUGAGUGUGUGCUCACAGACCCUGGGAGACCAGUGUGUGCUCACACAGACCCUGAGAGAUGAGUGUGUGCUCACAGACCCUGGGAGACCAGUGUGUGCUCACAGACCCCGGGAGACGAGUGUGUGCUCACAGACCCCGGGAGACGAGUGUGUGCUCACACAGACCCUGGGAGACGAGUGUGUGCUCACACAGACCCUGGGAGACCAGUGUGUGCUCACACAGACCCUGGGAGACCAGUGUGUGCUCACAGACCCUGUGAGACCAGUGUGUGCUCACACAGACCCUGGGAGACCAGUGUGUGCUCACACAGACCCUGGGAGACCAGUGUGUGCUCACAGACCCUGGGAGACCAGUGUGUGCUCAUGCAGACCCUGGUGAGGGGCACAGCACUCUGGGAGUGCACCAAACCCACAAAAUUUUAUGGCAUGUAAAUUAGAUAUCAAUAAAGUUGUCUUUUAAAAAAUAUAUAUGGCAAAAGCCAAAGACCAAAGUCCAGAAACCAAAACCUCACGGGAGACUGGAAGGGGAACCAAGGGUGUCAGGGUUCUGAGUUCUGCAACGUGGUCCCAGCCACCCUGCGGACGGCCUGGAUGCAGGGCCACCCCCGUGGCGACUGACCUCAGCCCCCGGGCUGUCUGCUCUAGAAGGAAGCAGGGCUCCUGGAGGAAUGGCUGAUGCCAAAAAGCGAAGGAGUCCCCAAAACAAACAGAAUGAGGGCGUGUCACAGGGCACGGGGCCCCCGAAGUGUGUGACUGGCCAAAUCCAGGACAAGGCAAGCAUUCAAAUGAUGGAGAAUGGGGGUGAGCUGUGUCUCCCCAAAACAACGGAAGCCGCAGGUGUACACGGAAGAUGGAUGGACGGACGAAGGCAGCCCUACCCCGCAGGAGAACGGCAACCUACAAGUGUGGGGGAGUGGGGGGCCGAGGGAUGGCGACACAGAUGGGCUGUGAGGAGCGUGGACAGCACACACUAACUCGGGCUGGGGAGCAGAGCAGCGCAUCCACGUGGUCAGACAGCGUCUGCGGCAAAGGACCAGAGGAUGGGAGUGCCCGUGCCUGCGUGUGCUUCCCCUCUCUCCCUGUAAACCUCUCACAUACAUAACCAAGUCAGCAGGAAAGUGUCUGCCCACUCGGUGCUCGCACGGGGGGGAAUCCAGACAGCCGCUUCCUGACCAUCAGAGUCAACUCCAGCGACCCAGGGCCUCGCCUGCAGGCCCUGGAAGGGCAGGAGCAGGCCCCAGCUGGUUCUGUGGCGAGCGCUCCCUGAGUCCCGUGGGUGAGCCGGGGUGGGGGUGGGGGGUCCUGUUGCAGACACAAAUGGCCCCGAGUUCUGCACCAGUGUCUGUGACACGGAAGACAGAGGAAGGCGGGGACCUGCUCCAGACGGCAGGAUGCCACGGCGCCCCUAGAGAAUGCCAGGGCGGCCCUGGCCUGCAGCCGUGGCAGAGGGCAGGGCCCACGGAGGCCUGUGUCUGGGGUCCCAUCACACCGUGAAGGCAGGCCAGCUAGCCAAAAAGAACUCUAACCAAUGGAGAAUCCCAAUUCUGACGACACCGCUGUGGUGACAGAGAACAGCCGUGGCCUCCGGAAAUACACAAGGACAUGGCGGAGCCACCACCUCCCAGAUGAGCCAGGAGAAUUAACACAGGCUGCUGGUCAGAGGGUCACAAGAGACAGUGAUGGUCACUGGUUUAAAAGCGGUGAGUCUGGGGCCGGCGCUGUAGCACAGCGGGUUAACGCCCUGGCCUGAAGCGCCGGCCUCCUGUAUGGGCGCCGGUUCUAGUCCUGGCUGUUCUACUUCUGAUCCAGCUCUCUGCGGUGGCCUGGAAAAGCAGUGGAAGAUGGCCCAAGUCCUUGGGCCCCUGCACCCACAUGGGAGACCUAGAAGAAGCUCCUGGCUCCUGGUUUUGGAUCCAUGCAGCUCCAGCUGUUGCAGCCAUCUGAGGAGUGAACCAGUGGAUGGAAGACCUCUCUCUCUGUCUCUACCUCUCUCUGUAACUCUGUCUUUCAAACAAAUAAAAUAAAUCUUAAAAAAAAAAAAAAGCGGUGAGUCUGAGUAAGGAGUAG